rnacentral:sRNA from 1 species
GCUGGGCAAGGUGGAGCAUGCCUGUAAUCCUAGUGACUUGGGAAGCUGAGGGAGGAGGAUUGCAAGUUGGAGGCUAACCUCAGCAAUUUAGCAAGGCCCUAAU